AUUACAGAGCGUGAGACUCUGCCCAGGCGUGCCCUGCGCGCAGAGUUGACCCUCCACCCGUGUGAACGUAUCUCUUGUUGCUUUGGCGGACCGGCUUUCGAGCCACCCGCGUCGCGUGGGAGCGCGUCCGCCGAAGACCCCCCUAACUCAUGUUGUUGUGUCGUCUGAGCAAACAAACUAUUGAAUUGUUAAAACUUUCAACAACGGAUCUCUUGGCUCUGGCAUCGAUGAAGAACGCAGCGAAAUGCGAUAAGUAAUGUGAAUUGCAGAAUUUAGUGAAUCAUCGAAUCUUUGAACGCACAUUGCGCCCCUUGGUAUUCCGAGGGGCAUGCCUGUUCGAGCGUCGUCACACCCCCUCAAGCCGCGCCGUGUGUGUGGCUUGGUGUUGGGGCUCGCCUCUCCGGCGGCCCUUAAAGACAGUGGCGGUGUCGUUGUGGACUCUACGCGUAGUACAUUUCUCGCGACAGGGCAGCAGCGGCAGCUGGCCAACAACCCCAAUUUUAUCAAGGUUGACCUCGAAUCAGGUAGGGAUACCCGCUGAACUUAAGCAUAUCAAUAAGCGG
rnacentral:rRNA from 1 species